CCUACGGGGUGCAGCAGUGAGGAAUAUUGGUCAAUGGACGAGAGUCUGAACCAGCCAAGUAGCGUGAAGGAUGACUGCCCUAUGGGUUGUAAACUUCUUUUAUAUGGGAAUAAAAUGUUCCACGUGUGGGAUUUUGUAUGUACCAUAUGAAUAAGGAUCGGCUAACUCCGUGCCAGCAGCCGCGGUAAUACGGAGGAUCCGAGCGUUAUCCGGAUUUAUUGGGUUUAAAGGGAGCGUAGGUGGAUUGUUAAGUCAGUUGGGAAAGUUUGCGGCUCAACCGUAAAAUUGCAGUUGAAACUGGCAGUCGUGAGUACAGGAGAGGUGGGCGGAAUUCGUGGUGUAGCGGUGAAAUGCGUAGAUAUCACGAAGAACACCGAUUGCGAAGGCAGAUCACUGGACUGCAACUGACACUGAGGCUCGAAAGUGUGGGGAGCAAACAGGAUUAGAUACCCGAGUAGUC
rnacentral:rRNA from 1 species